GGGCAUGUAGCUCAGAGGAGUAGAGCACGUGGCUUAGAAACCACGGUGUCGGUGGUUUGAAUUCCCCUUCGCUCA